UUUUCUCCCAAGCAGACCACCGAAAAACGAGCGAGUCACACUCUUUACUCGAAGUGGUGCGGGAGCCUUUCUGAAACAAAGCGAGCAAACUCAAUUUUGCAUUGUCCCUCGAAUAGGAGAGAGCACGUUUUGCUCAUUUCAGAGUGGGAUCAAAAUUCAUUCAAAAACGAGCAGAUUUUGCUCUUGUCGAGGUUGCAUGAGUGACCCGUGAGCGCACCUACACAAAACAAAAGAGUGAAAAAUGGACUCCGUAAAAAACUCCCACUUAACGAGCAAUCCCGCUCGCAAGCUGGUAUUGCAAAUCUGUGCUCUGCUUCCAAGGCCAAUAGACCUUUCAUGUUGGUAUUCUAACUAAGGAAGGAAUCAAUUUAAAAACUACACAGUACAAUUUAAUAAACAAAGGAGCCUCUUUGCCAAAUAUUUUGAGUUAUUGCUUUUCAUGACAAAAAAAAAAAAAAACAAACGUCUUCGAAUAAAAGUUGAGAGUUUAACGAAAACGGAAAAGAUAACGUAACUCCGCCUUGUUACACAAAAAUAUUUUAUUUUGUUGCUUUAUUUUGUCGAAACGUGUACACUGGUUGGAUAUUUAGUGUGCAUUGCCGAAUCAUAAAUAUAUGGACGUAUAUCUGCAGAAAUGAUAUUUAUGGACGAACAUAUGUUUUAUAAUUUUCACGCCAUUUUUUACCGCUCCGCUUUUUUUUUUUUUUUUUUUGUUAUAAACUGUCAUUAAAUUCAGUGAAGGAAAAGUUCAACUCAGUUCUGUUGUUCUCAUUGCACUUUCAAUCACGUUGUUCAAAUUACAAAUCCUAUCAAUGCAUUCAGACUGGUGGCAUCAUUGGACCGUCCUUCCUCAAAGAUGCUGCGAAUCGCAAAGUAACUGUGAAUGGUGAGCGCUACCAUGAGGCAAUAUUCAACUUUUUAUGCCCAAAGUGCAAGAGCUUGACUUGCAUAAAAUGUUGUUUCAACACAUCACUGGUGACAAUGCACUUAUGGAGAGACUACUUUUUGUGGGGCUGUGUUAAGCCUCGUGUCUAUACAGAUGAGCCUGCUUCCAUUGGAUCACUGGAAGACAACAUUCGUGAGAUAGCGGCCGAAAAGUAGGACUAAGCGGAUGGACCAUUUGAAGCGCAGGUGCAGUCAACAUUUGCAUGAAAUAAUCUUCAAACAUUAAAUUAAAUGGACCGUACUACCAAUUCAAAUACAGAUAUUAUUUGACAGCCUUAACUGAAAUGCAACGUAACGCAUACAAAUAUUCAACUUCCCCACUGUGGUAAAUUGUUUUGUGCGUCCGUAUUAGCAAAAUACGUCAGGUUUCCUAAAAUUGAAAAAUGUGGAAUACUCUAUGAAUAUAUAUGCAGUUUGGUUUCAAUUCGAUAGGGAUGUAGUUGUUUCUUUUUCACGAUGUUCUGGCGAUUGCUUGAAGUGUUGAGAGAUUUGGACCUACAUCUAACAAAGAUACAUUCAGGGGAAUACAAUUAAAUAUUUUAAGAACUAAUCUUUUG